UACGGAGGGAGCUAGCGUUAUUCGGAAUUACUGGGCGUAAAGCGCACGUAGGCGGCUUUGUAAGUUAGAGGUGAAAGCCUGGAGCUCAACUCCAGAAUAGCCUUUAAGACUGCAUCGCUUGAAUCCAGGAGAGGUGAGUGGAAUUCCGAGUGUAGAGGUGAAAUUCGUAGAUAUUCGGAAGAACACCAGUGGCGAAGGCGGCUCACGUGGACUGGUAUUGACGCUGAGGUGCGAAAGCGUGGGGAGCAAACAGG
rnacentral:rRNA from 1 species